GGUGGUCUGAGUGCAGUGGUGUUUACAACUAAUUGAUCACAACCAGUUAAAGAGUCCUCUGUUUCUUCACUCUCAACUACUUCACUUGACUAGUCUUAA
ensembl:misc_RNA Y_RNA Y RNA